rnacentral:rRNA from 1 species
AAUUGGAGGGCAAGUCUGGUGCCAGCAGCCGCGGUAAUUCCAGCUCCAAUAGCGUAUAUUAAAGUUGUUGCAGUUAAAAAGCUCGUAGUUGAAUUUCGGGAUUGACGUGAUGGUCGUGCCUUAAGGGGUAUGAACUGUCGCAGUUGAUUUCUCACCUUCUGGAGAAGCAUGAUGUCCUUAAUUGGGUGUCAUGCGGAACCAGGACCUUUACCUUGAAAAAAUUAGAGUGUUUAAAGCAGGCAUUUUGCUCGAAUACAUUAGCAUGGAAUAAUAGAAUAGGACGGCAUGGUUCUAUUUUGUUGGUUUCUAGGAUCACCGUAAUGAUUAAUAGGGAUAGUUGGGGGCAUUAGUAUUCAAUUGUCAGAGGUGAAAUUCUUGGAUUUAUUGAAGACUAACUACUGCGAAAGCAUUUGCCAAGGAUGUUUUCAUUAAUCAAGAACGAAAGUUAGGGGAUCGAAGACGAUCAGAUACCGUCGUAGUCUUAACCAUAAACUAUGCCGACUAGGAAUCAGACGAUGUUAAUUUUUUAAUGACUCGUUUGGCACCUUACGGGAAACCAAAGUGU